AGAGUUUGAUCAUGGCUCAGACUGAACGCUGGCGGCAUGGCUAAAACAUGCAAGUCGAACGGACCCGCAAGGGUUAGUGGCGGAAGGGUGAGUAACAGUAUCGAAUGUACCCCGAGGUGGAGGAUAGGCAUGGGAAACUGUGCGUAAUACUUCAUGAUCUCGAGAGAGCAAAGGCGCAAGCCGCCUUGGGAGCAGCGAUAUUCCUAUCAGGUAGUUGGCGGGGUAAUGGCCCACCAAGCCGAAGACGGGUAGCCGGUAUGAGAGUACGGCCGGCCACAUCGGGACUGAGACACUGCCCGGACUCCUACGGGAGGCUGCAGUAACGAAUAUUCCGCAAUGGGCGAAAGCCUGACGGAGCAAUGCCGCGUGUGGGAUGAAGCGGUUUCGCCGUGUAAACCACUGUCAGGAAAUAGAAAAGAUGAUCAUUUCCAGAGGAAGGAGCGACUAACUCUGUGCCAGCAGUCGCGGUAAGACAGAGGCCCCGAGCGUUAGUCGGAAUUACUGGGCUUAAAGGGUGCGUAGGCGGGCGUGUAAGUGUCUUGUGAAAGCCCCGGGCUCAACCCGGGAACCGCAGGGCAUACUGCACGUCUCGAAGUAGCUAGAGGCCGGUGGAACGAUCGGUGGAGCGGUGGAAUGCGUAGAGAUCGAUCGGAACGCCAAGGGUGAAGACNCCGGCUGGGGCUUACUUGACGCUGAGGCACGAAAGCGUGGGGAUCAAACAGGAUUAGAUACCCUAGUAGUCC
rnacentral:rRNA from 1 species